GCCCGAUCCUGGAGUCACUAGUCAUGAGCCACUAAAAUACAAUCUGAUAAUGUUUUCUCAAUACAAGAUGAGUCUAAUAAAAUAAACAAAUGCUAAAUAGAUAGGAAGGAAAAAGGCAAGGCUGCGGAUGCCGUGCAACUACCUUGUUAACUCUGGAAAUGCUCUGAAGGAAAGGAACAGCUCUCACUCGGAUGCCCUAGCACCUGGAUUUGCACACAAGGUGCAGGGAGUAACGUGAGUACGCCAACUUAGUAAGUAACAAUUAUAAAUAAAGGCUGAGUGCAGUGACGAGCAUUAAUAAUCAAAUACAUCUCAUAACAUAAAAACCUCAGUGGAAAUAAUAAGAUCAAAUCAGUAAUUAAAUUCGGAACAUCUCGUAUAAUAAAACUCCAGUUUCAAUAAAAAUUGUUUAAAACAUUUGUUCAACAUUUUCAAUAGAGGCUUAGUAUAAAAGAAAAGUAAAAACAGUAAUUUCAUAAUACAAGCCCAGCACUCACACUCAGCACUCACACUAAAUAGGUACCUUAUAAUAACCGUUGCGGCGUCAACCCGAUCCAUAAAUACAUAGUCAAUUGCGCUCAUUGGGGGUGAGCAGACUCCGGAGGGGCUCCUACAGCCUAAGCACUAUAUCGUUGCGGCGUGCAGCCCGAUACACACACACACACACACACACAUAUAUACCUCUAGGGGUCCAAAUAGUACGGCACAAGGCCCCAAACGUGGCAUUCAACCCAAGUUAACAAAAUCAUUUUUAAAGCACAUAGAUAUCACAUUAGAGUUUAUCAAAAUAUGCAACUCUACAGUUGCCACGGGACGGACCAAGUCACAAUCCCUAUUGGUGCACGCCCACAUGCCCGUCACCUAGCAUGUGCGUCACCUUAUUUAUCAAAAUAGUACAAAAUUUCGGGGUUUCAUACCCUCAGAUCUAGAUUUACAAUCGUUACUUACCUCAAACUGAACGCAAAUCUACUUUGCAAUGCCUUUGCCACUCGACUCGGUCUCAAAUCGCCCCGAAUCUAUCUAAAAAUUAGAAUCAUAUCAUCAAUACAUGCUAAAGGAAUAAAGCCCAUGCAAGAAUUAUCAAAUUAAAUCAAUAUUCCUGAAAUUGGCCAAACCCGACCCCCGAACCCACGUCUUAGAUGCCAAUAAAAAUCACAACACUAGAAUCCUUAUUCACUCACGAGUCUAUACAUACCAAAUUUACGAAAAUCCAACUUCGUUUGACCCCUCAAUCGCCCAAUUUUAACUCUCAAGUUCCAAGCCCUAAUUCCCCAAUUUUCACCCUUAAAUCCCACAAAUUACAAGCUUAAUCUACUGAAAAUCAUCAUAGAAUCGAGUACUAAGUCAAAAAACCUUACCUCAACAAGUUUCCCCCUUGAUUCCCUCUUCAAAACCAUCCAAAAGCUUCAAUCCCAACUUCAAAAAUGGUGGAAUGGGCCAAAUUUCGCGAAGGGGAACUUAUAUAAUUUCUGCCCCAGGAAUUCCGCACCUGCGGACAAUAUCUCGCACCUGCGGUCACAGGUGCGCACCUGCGAAAAUCACUUAAAGGACCGAGAUCGCAUCUGCGCCCAGUCACCGCACCUACGAUGCCGCAAAUGCGUCCAAAUAACCGCAUCCGCGGUUCUUCUCCUGAUGGACAAAACACGCACCUGCGAUCUCCUUACCGCAUUGCGUCCUUGCACAUGCGGUCCCCAAUCCGCAGGUGGGGAAAUGAUAGAAGCAGCAAAAUCUGCAGCAAUAACUCAAAGUGAAACUUCUCGUCAACCACCCAAAUCCAUCCCGGGGCCCUCGAGACCUCAACCAAACAUACCAACAAGUCACAUAUCAUCAUUCAAAUCUAUACCAUCCUUCGGAACACUCAAAACAAUAUCGAAACACCAUAUCACCCUCGGAUUCAAGCCUAAGGAUUUUCAAACUUCCGAAUUCCGCAAACGAUGCCAAAACCUAUCAAACCUCGUCCGAAAGACCCGAAAUUUUGCACACAUAUCACAAUGACACAACAGACCUACUCCAAUUUUUGAAAUUUCAUUCCGACCCCGAUAUCGAGAUUUCCACUGCCGACCGAAAAAUGCUAAAUUUUCAAUUUCGCCAAUUCAAGCCCAAAUCUACCACGUACCUCCAAAUAACAUUCCGAAUCCACUCCUAAAUCCUAACACCUAACGAAGUUAUCCGAACCAUAAAACUUCAAUUCCGAGAUCAUUUAUCCACAUGUUAACUUUCGGUUGACUUUUCCAACUAAAGCUUCUUAAUUAAGAGACCAAGUGUCUCAUUCCAUUCCACGACCACUUCGAACCCGAACCAACCAACACGAUACGACGAAAUACAGCUGAACAAUACAUAAAGAAGCAGAAAUGGAGGAAACGGAAAUGUAACUCAUGAAACGAUCACCCGGGUCGUUACAAAAAUAUUGAACUCCCUUAAAGAGAAGAUGCGUGAAUGGUAUGUACAGGGUAAAUAUAUACUAACUCCUAAAGGGGACUAUUCCCUAACAAGUAGCUAUAACUCAUUACUGAGAGGACAAGAGAGGAUGGAUAAUGCGAGCCUAUUUUGGAGCAAAUUUACACAGCCAAAAUACAGAUGUAUUGCUUGGCUUGCAACUAAACAAAGACCACUGACAAAAAAAAAGACUAGGGAAAUGUGGAUUAUAGUACCAGAUAUGAACUGCUGCUUAUGUGAUGAUCAAGAAGUUGAGACCAGUCAACAUUUAUUUGGUAAUUGUCAAUGGAUACAGGCUAUAAGAAGAUCACUGCUGCAAUGGACAUGAGCACAAUUGUAUGCGGGGUAUCCUAAACUGGUAUUUGAUCGAAUUAGAAGGAAGCACUGGAAGAAACUCAAGAAGGAAGGGAUGGCUGCCAUAUGGGGUGCAACAAUCUAUCAUGUAUGGACUGCCAGGAAUAGAAAAUUGUUUCAAAAUGGAACUGUACAUGUGGAUAUUAUAGUUACACAACUCAAGAAAGAGAUAAAAGAGAGAAUAGGGAUGAUUAAGCUGUCAAAUAUAGGAAGUAGAAAUAAAGGAUUCAUAUAGAGACUAUUGUGUAAUUAGAGAUUUGGAGUCUCAGUUUCUU
rnacentral:lncRNA from 1 species